UUAAUAUAUUGGUCACCGAUGAAUGAAAAAACAAAAACAGAGAAAUUAGUUGAUAACUUCAGACAAGAAAACCGAAAUCGUACGAAACAUGA